rnacentral:rRNA from 1 species
AUUGAACGCUGGCGGCAGGCCUAACACAUGCAAGUCGAACGAGUGGCGGACGGGUGAGUAAUGUCUGGGAAACUGCAUGAUGGAGGGGGAUAACUACUGGAAACGGUAGCUAAUACCGCAUACCAUCGGAUGUGCCCGGAUGGGAUUAGCUAGUAGGGUGGGUAAAGGCUCACCUGGGCCACGAUCCCUAGCUGGUCUGAGAGGAUGAACAGGCACACUUGAACUGAGACACGGUCCAGACUCCUACGGUAGGCAGCAGUGGGGAAUAUUGCACAAUGGGCGAAAGCCUGAUGCAGCCAUGCCGCGUGUGUGAAGAAGGCCUUCGGGUUGUAAAGUACUUUCAGCUGGGAGGCGUUACCCGCAGAAGAAGCACCGGCUAACUCCGUGCCAGCAGCCGCGGUAAUUC